rnacentral:rRNA from 1 species
CCUACGGGGAGCUGCAGUGGGGAAUAUUGCACAAUGGGGGAAACCCUGAUGCAGCGACGCCGCGUGAGUGAAGAAGUAUUUCGGUAUGUAAAGCUCUAUCAGCAGGGAAGAAAAAAGACGGUACCUGACUAAGAAGCACCGGCUAACUACGUGCCAGCAGCCGCGGUAAUACGAAGGGGGCAAGCUUUAUCCGGAUUUACUGGGGGUAAAGGGAGCGUAGACGGGAUGGCAAGUCUGAGGGGAAAGCCCAGGGCUUAACCCUGGGACUGCUUUGGAAACUGUUAGACUAGAGUGCUGGAGAGGUAAGUGGAAUGCCUGGUGUAGCGGUGAAAUGCGUAGAUAUUAGGAGGAACACCAGUGGCGAAGGCGGCUUACUGGACAGUAACUGACGUUGAGGCUCGAAAGCGUGGGGAGCAAACAGGAUUAGAUACCCUGGUAGUC